AACGACUCUCGGCAACGGAUAUCUCGGCUCUCGCAUCGAUGAAGAACGUAGCGAAAAUGCGAUACUUGGUGUGAAUUGCAGAAUCCCGUGAACCAUCGAGUCUUUGAACGCAAGUUGCGCCCGAAGCCUUCCGGCCGAGGGCACGUCUGCCUGGGCGUCACGC
rnacentral:rRNA from 1 species